UUAACAAAAUCAAACCUAAUUAAACUUUAAACAAUCCUAAUUAAUUCUAAUUAAGCGCAUUUAUUCAGUUAGUUAAUAAAAGGUGAAAGGGAAAUUAGGGUUGAGAAAUGUUGUGACUCUUCAGAUUUCAGGACCUCACACUCUCUCCCUCUUUCGCUCCAACACGACGGCGCCGGAGCUACUCCGACCAAAACUUACAGCGCCGCCGUGAAUCCUUCUGAUCACCACUACAACCUCCUCUUCUAAUUCCUAAUUCUAAUUUCUCCGUUCAAAAUUCAAUAAAUCCCUAAUCGAAGCGUUUAGAAGAACCCUAGGCAUUAAGCGUCUCAAGCUCCUAAUUUCGACAUCACAUAAUUCGGCGCACGAAGAAUAAUGGAGAUUCGAAGACACACCUGAAAUGACGAUCGGUUGCUGAGAGCGGAGAAAACCGGAGAAGAGAUUUCGAGCGAUAUGGAUGCCAAAACAGAGAUAAACGCGAGCAAAUGGAAGAAAAUCCAGAGUAACCGAUUCUGCAAGUGUGCCUUGAAGACAAUGAAGGUUGAAAGCUGAGGUGAAGAACAUGUUUCUUGCGGAUCGAAGCGUGAAGUACGUUGAUGAAGUUUCAGAAUGAACUUUGGAGGUGGUUGAAGGUGAGUUCUUUUCUUCUUUCAAUCCUCUCUUUCUGUGAGUUUCUGUUACGCCAAUGAUUGAAGAAAGGAGCGAAUUCUCUUUACAGGAUUCAAUUGAAGAUUGAUGUUGGUUGAUGAGAUUGUGAAGGGUGAGGGUUGAUGAAGGUGAGAGUAAUGGAGAGAUUGGAGAAAUCGAUUCUGAACAAAGGUGAGUAAUGGUGAAGAUGAUGAAAUGUUCAGAAGUGGUGAAGAGAGAUUCAGAGAGUGUGAAUUGGUGAAAGGUGAAGGUUGUUCAGUUAUAUAGAGAUGGAGGUUUGAGAAUUCAGUUAGAGGAGAGCGUUUUCAGCCAUUGGAUUGAGAUUUGGUUUGGGAGAUUGAAGGGGUGAGAUUGAGAGUUGGUUAUGAGGGUUAGAAGUUGGCUACAAUUCUGUUUUGGUGGUUGGGAAGUUGGUUAGGGGCAGUUAGCUUUCUGUUAUAUUUUGAGAAUUGGUUAAAAGUUUGUUGAGAGUUAGUUACUAGGUGUGACAAGUUAGUUAUGCUGGUUAAUAGGGUUGUAAGGGUGAUGUUUUAUUGGCUGUUAGAGACUGUUUUGCAGCUGCAGUAGGUUAUGGAUUUCUGUUUGGUAAUAUUUGGAAUUGGUUUUGGAUAUGGUGAGAUUGAAUGUAUGCAGCUGACUUCAAUUAUGAAUUGUGGCACGUUAUUUUGGAAGCUUUGCAAACCUUUGGGUAUGUUUCAAGUCAUGAAGGCAUUAUGGAGAAAAUUUUGGCAAAUGAUGAAGAAACAGCGAACCUGGUUGAAGAUGAUAGGUCUAGGUCAUUGUUGGGUUUGAGUCAAAGUUGGUCAACGGUUUGACUUGGUCAACAGAUGACCAAAAGUCAAAGUUGUUUUUUUUGUAAUUUUCUUGACUUCGUUUUGUAGAUAGCGGUGGACUCUUGAUCUUUAUAAUUAAAUCUGAUCUUGGUUUGAAUAAUGGAAUGUUGACUUUUUCAAGUAAUGGACUCAUUUCCCUCAUUUAGAUUUAAAUUUCUUAUUAUCUUGAAUGAAUAUCAUGAAUGAAAUUUUCAAUAUGACCUUUGAUCCAAACUUGAAUAACAAGGGCAAUCUUACAAUCUCAAUGAAAUAUUGGCUUCAGUCCAAACCUUUUUCCAACCACACUUGCUAACCGCAUCUUUGCACCUUGACCUACAUUUUGCAGAUUAAUCUAUAAAUCUUCUUUUGCCUUGACAAAGUUCCUCAUUGAAGAUAAUAUUUGAAGCAUAAAGGAAAUCCUUGUCUUGAAGUACACAUAACCAUGAACCCAGACCCUACUUCCAUAAUUCAACGCUUUAAGGAGUGCUGACGAAUCAGUGUUAUUUGA